rnacentral:lncRNA from 1 species
UGUGUAAAUUACAUGGCAGGGGAAAGGAAUAGUCUAAACCCCCAAAGAUCUCAGGUUGAUAAUACAUCAUAUCCGGUAUACUCAUGGGUGCUAUUACUUCCUGCCGUUGCUGUCGAAUUCUGUGACUAUUCCAUGUCAAGCUGAUGUUGCACGAUCGAGAGGUAGCAAAAUCGGACACAUUCUAUAUGAAUAGGUGAUGAAACAUCUAGAACACCAGUAUCUUGAAGAUCUCGGAA